rnacentral:rRNA from 1 species
UACGUAGGGUGCAAGCGUUGCCCGGAAUUAUUGGGCGUAAAGAGCUCGUAGGUGGCCUGUCGCGUCGGCUGUGAAAACUCGGGGCUCAACUCCGAGCUUGCAGUCGAUACGGGCAGGCUAGAGUUCGGCAGGGGAGACUGGAAUUCCUGGUGUAGCGGUGAAAUGCGCAGAUAUCAGGAGGAACACCGAUGGCGAAGGCAGGAUCUCCUGGGCAUUAACUGACGCUGAGGCGCGAAAGCGUGGGGAGCAAACAG